UCCGGUUUAUCACCGGCAGUAUCCUUAGAGUCCCCAGCUUAACCUGAUGGUAACUAAGGAAAGGGGUUGCGCUCGUUACAGGACUUAACCUAACAUCUCACGACACGAGCUGACGACAGCCAUGCAGCACCUGUCUCUCGGCUCCCGAAGGCACACCAGCAUCUCUGCCAGCUUCCGAGGAUUCAAGGGUAGGUAAGGUUCUUCGCGUUGCAUCGAAUUAAACCACAUGCUCCACCGCUUGUGCGGGCCCCCGUCAAUUUCUUUGAGUUUUAACCUUGCGGCCGUACUCCCCAGGCGGAGAACUUAACGCGUUAGCUCCGCUACUGCGCCCUCAUGGGCCCAACAGCAAGUUCUCAUCGUUUACGGCGUGGACUAC
rnacentral:misc_RNA from 1 species